UUUCUUUAGCUUAAUGGGCUUAAUCAUUCAAACACAGCUUUAAAAAAGCAUAUGAAUUUUUGUGAAAUAGCUUGAUCACGUGUUUAUCACAGAUAUCACUAUGCUGUACACGUGAAUGUACAAGUGUAAUGUGGUUGUUUGGGGAGAAUUUCAACUUUGUUUAUGUUUUUUUUACAUGCUGUGGCAAGUUUCGUUGUGGGGUGUGUGUGGAACUGUGUUGUGUUCUCAAAGCAGGCAUGCAACUUUGUGCUAAAAUACAAAGCAGGUAUGCAACUUCUUCUACUCCCAUCUAGGAAGAAGAAGUUAUCGAGUCAUUGGAGGGGUUUUAUUCAUCCUCUAAUGUGGCGCGCUGCAAAUGGAUACAAUUGAAAAUCAAAGAAAUUGAGUCUCAAGCAUCAAAAUAUGCCAGAGAAAUUGCAGCAUGUGAACAGAGGAAACAUUCAGGAAUUUACCAAUCUACGUUUGAAGAAAACAAGAAAUCCAAUCCAGAGGGCACUUCUCAUGAUAGAUGAUUUUAGCAAUACUGCAAUUACAGAACAACAUGCUGAUGGCGAUGAUUAAUCUGGCGUUGACAAUGACCAAUUGUUUAUCGAGUGUAAAUUCUUGGAGCAUGUCCUUUGGAAAAUUGAAAUAGUGCAUUUUCGGGUUCGCAAGCUGAAGAAUCAACUUGACAUGGUGAUAUCAAAGAAUGCCUCCAAGUUUUCAUCCUCGAGAGAAUUUGAGCUUCUUGCAGCUUGUGAUGCACAGGCUAGCUCUGCUUCUAGUCCUACAUUCUCUGCUGGAAAUGGAGAUGCGAUAUCAGGAGCUAUUUAUCCUGCAACUCAAAAUAUUCCUGGAUAUAACACUGGAGAUCUGGUUAUGCCUGAAAGCGCCAUGUCUUGUUUUGGUGGGGCUAUUCACGUGCCUGACAUUAUUGAAAGCACAGUGGGACUAUUGCCUGCUGCUGAUGUAACCUUCCAUCAGCAACAAAUUGGAGAUUCAAGUGAAGAUGUAAGAAUUCAUUAUAGUCAGUAUUUUCAUAGUCCAUACAAUUAUACAAUUCUUGUCUUCUGAUUGAAUCUGAAUGACUAGAUGAAAGUUUAGAUUUCUGAUA